rnacentral:lncRNA from 1 species
UUUCAAGUUGGCAAGAAACUACUGGCGAUUUCCCAGAAGCAAGCGGCAACUCCAGAUUUUACAGGACACCAGAUGGCAGACUUGCUCUUUGACAUUUUGUGUUUUGGAAUUAUGGAUAAAGGAUUGUGCAUCCACACUGGCCCUAUUUCCCUACCCAUGACCACCCACCAUACCUAAGGAACUGAGCCUGGGGAAAGUUGCAACCACAGACUGACUGGUUUCAUUAUUAAUUGAUCAUCACCAUGUUCAAAGGGACCCUUGAAAUUGCCUGGUAAUUCCGCCAUGUUUCUUUGGUCUCUCAUUAAAAUUUC